AGAAUUUAAAUGACAUUUUAAGAUUUUUACAGUGGCUUGAAAAAGUAUUCAGCCCCCUUGAACUUUUCUACAUUUUGUCACAUUACAGUCACAAACAUAAAUCUAUUUUGUUGGAAUUCCAUGUGAAAGACCAACACAAAGUGGUUUACAAUUGAGAAGUGGCACGAAAAUCAUACAUGAUCCAAACAUUUUUUAUUAAUAAAUAACUGAAAAGUGGUGUG